rnacentral:rRNA from 1 species
UACGUAGGCAGCAAGCGUUGUUCGGAGUUACUGGGCGUAAAGGGUGUGUAGGCGGUUGUUUAAGUUUGGUGUGAAAUCUCCCGGCUCAACCGGGAGGGUGCGCCGAAUACUGAAUGACUAGAGUGCGGGAGAGGAAAGUGGAAUUCCUGGUGUAGCGGUGAAAUGCGUAGAUAUCAGGAGGAACACCGGUGGUGUAGACGGCUUUCUGGACCGUAACUGACGCUGAGACGCGAAAGCGUGGGUAGCAAACAGG